GCCGGGGUAGCUCAAUCGGUAGAGCGUGUGGCUCUUAUCAGCAUUGAUAUUCCAACCUCAAGGUCGCGGGUUCGAGCCCCGCCUUCGGCU
rnacentral:tRNA from 1 species